rnacentral:rRNA from 1 species
AGAGUUUGAUCAUGGCUCAGAACGAACGCUGGCGGCAGGCCUAACACAUGCAAGUCGAGCGCCCCGCAAGGGGAGCGGCGGACGGGUGAGUAACGCGUGGGAACGUGCCUCUUGCUAUGGAAUAGCCUCGGGAAACUGGGAGUAAUACCGUAUGUGCCCUACGGGGGAAAGAUUUAUCGGCAAGAGAUCGGCCCGCGUUGGAUUAGGUAGUUGGUGGGGUAAUGGCCUACCAAGCCGACGAUCCAUAGCUGGUUUGAGAGGAUGAUCAGCCACACUGGGACUGAGACACGGCCCAGACUCCUACGGGAGGCAGCAGUGGGGAAUCUUAGACAAUGGCGCAAGCCUGAUCUAGCCAUGCCGCGUGAGCGGUGAAGGCCUUAGGGUUGUAAAGCUCUUUCAGUGGGAAGAUAAUGACUGUACCCACAGAAGAAGCCCCGGCUAACUCCGUG